rnacentral:rRNA from 1 species
GAUGAACGCUAGCGGGAGGCCUAAUACAUGCAAGUCGAACGGUAACAGGGUAGCAAUACCGCUGACGAGUGGCGCACGGGUGCGUAACGCGUACACAACCUGCCUUUUACUGGAGGAUAGCCUCGGGAAACUGAGAUUAAUACUCCAUAACGUUUCGGAGUGGCAUCGCUCUGCAACUAAAACUCCGGUGGUAAAAGAUGGGUGUGCGUCCGAUUAGAUAGUUGGUGAGGUAACGGCUCACCAAGUCAACGAUCGGUAGCUGGUCUAAGAGGAUGAUCAGCCACACGGGCACUGAGACACGGGCCCGACUCCUACGGGAGGCAGCAGUAGGGAAUAUUGGACAAUGGGCGCAAGCCUGAUCCAGCCAUCCCGCGUGAAGGAUUAAGGUCCUAUGGAUUGUAAACUUCUUUUUUUGGAGAAUAAAAACCGGUAUUUAUACUGGCUUGAAGGUAUCCAAAGAAUAAGCACCGGCUAACUCCGUGCCAGCAGCCGCAGUAAUAC